rnacentral:rRNA from 1 species
AGGUUUGAUCCUGGCUCAGGAUGAACGCUGGCGGCGUGCUUAACACAUGCAAGUCGAACGAACCUUCGGGUUAGUGGCGGACGGGUGAGUAACGCGUGAGAAUCUGCCCUCAGGAGGGGGAUAACGGUUGGAAACGACCGCUAAUACCCCAUAUGCCUACUGGUGAAAUGAAUUUCGCCUGAGGAUGAGCUCGCGUCUGAUUAGCUUGUUGGUGAGGUAAUGGCUCACCAAGGCUUCGAUCAGUAGCUGGUCUGAGAGGAUGAUCAGCCACACUGGGACUGAGACACGGCCCAGACUCCUACGGGAGGCAGCAGUGGGGAAUUUUCCGCAAUGGGCGAAAGCCUGACGGAGCAACGCCGCGUGAGGGAUGAAGGCCUCUGGGCUGUAAACCUCUUUUAUCAAGGAAGAAGAUCUGACGGUACUUGAUGAAUAAGCCACGGCUAAUUCCGUGCCAGCAGCCGCGGUAAUACGGGAGUGGCAAGCGUUAUCCGGAAUUAUUGGGCGUAAAGCGUCCGCAGGCGGCCCUUCAAGUCUGCUGUUAAAAAGUGGAGCUUAACUCCAUCAUGGCAGUGGAAACUGUUGGGCUUGAGUGUGGUAGGGGCAGAGGGAAUUCCCGGUGUAGCGGUGAAAUGCGUAGAUAUCGGGAAGAACACCAGUGGCGAAGGCGCUCUGCUGGGCCAUCACUGACGCUCAUGGACGAAAGCCAGGGGAGCGAAAGGGAUUAGAUACCCCUGUAGUCCUGGCCGUAAACGAUGAACACUAGGUGUCGGGGGAAUCGACCCCCUCGGUGUCGUAGCCAACGCGUUAAGUGUUCCGCCUGGGGAGUACGCACGCAAGUGUGAAACUCAAAGGAAUUGACGGGGGCCCGCACAAGCGGUGGAGUAUGUGGUUUAAUUCGAUGCAACGCGAAGAACCUUACCAGGGUUUGACAUCCUGCGAAUUUCUGGGAAACCGGAAAGUGCCUUCGGGAGCGCAGUGACAGGUGGUGCAUGGCUGUCGUCAGCUCGUGUCGUGAGAUGUUGGGUUAAGUCCCGCAACGAGCGCAACCCACGUCUUUAGUUGCCAGCAUUCAGUUGGGCACUCUAGAGAGACCGCCGGUGAUAAACCGGAGGAAGGUGUGGAUGACGUCAAGUCAUCAUGCCCCUUACAUCCUGGGCUACACACGUACUACAAUGCUACGGACAAAGGGCAGCAAGUUCGCGAGGACAAGCAAAUCCCAUAAACCGUGGCUCAGUUCAGAUCGUAGGCUGCAACUCGCCUACGUGAAGGAGGAAUCGCUAGUAAUCGCAGGUCAGCAUACUGCGGUGAAUACGUUCCCGGGCCUUGUACACACCGCCCGUCACACCAUGGAAGUUGGCCACGCCCGAAGCCGUUACUCCAACCCUUGUGGAGGAGGACGUCGAAGGUGGGGCUGAUGACUGGGGUGAAGUCGUAACAAGGUAACC